ensembl:lncRNA
GGAUAACAGUAAGUCGGAAGACACAAGGUUCUCAAUAGAGAAAUCUUUCUACGUUGACAACUGCCUUCAGAGUUUCACCUCAAGUGAAACAGCAAAAGAUUUUGUUGACAGACUCAGCAACCUCUUAAGUUCAGGAGGCUUUGACUUGAGACAGUGGGCGAGCAAUGAUCCAUCAGUCAUCAGUCACCUGCCAGCUGAUGCUCGAUCCCACAGUAAUAUCCAGUGGCUCAGCGAAGGCCAUCAAGAUGUACAAGAGUCAACCCUCGGGCUACAUUGGCAUUGCUCAUCGGACACUCUCUCCUAUAAGCAACGUUGGAUAAACCACCCACUUCCAACUAUGCGGAGUAUAUACCACACCCUCGCUAGCCAGUAUGACCCCAUUGGCUAUAUUACGCCAUUCACAACACGGGCCAAAGUGAUUGUACAGAGGUUAUGGGACAAGAAAAGAGAGUGGGACGAUACCAGACUGCCUGAGGAACUGCUGAACUUGUGGAAAGCUUGGGUGAGUGAGCUGGAUGAUCUACAGCACAUUGCAUGGCCGAGAUGUUACUGCAGCAAAGAACUAGAUUACCCUACUAGCACCAGGCAGAUCCAUAUUUUCUGUGAUGCUUCAGAGCAAGCCUAUGGUUCUGUCGCCUACUUACGAACUGAAAGCCAUGAAGGUAAAGUGGAAGUAGCCUUUGUAGCUGCUAGAUCUCGGGUAGCCCCGAAAAAACAGCAAACCAUUCCACGGUUGGAGUUAUGUGCAGCAGUGACUGGCACCCAGCUCGCAAAGAUUCUGAUGACAGAACUGACUUUGCACAUCCACAGUGUCACCCUGUGGUCUGAUUCCACAACUGUCCUAAACUGGUUGCUAUCACCCUCCUGUCGUUUUAAAGUGUUUGUAGGCACUAGAGUGGCAGAAAUCCAGGAACUCACAGAGUCUGAUAAGAGGAAGUAUGUGCCAUCAAAGGAGAAUCCCGCAGAUGACAUCACCAAGGGAAAAUCUCUCUGUGAAAUAAACCAGGAAAGCAGAUGGAACAAAGGGCCCAAAUUUCUCAGAGA